rnacentral:lncRNA from 1 species
UCAGGAGGCUAAGGUGAGAGGAUUGCUUGAGCCCCGGAGGUGGAGGUUGCAGUGAACCGAGAUUGCACUAAUGCACUCCAGCCUGGGCAAGAGUGAGACCUCCAGCCUGGGCAAGAGUGAGACCCUGUCUCAAAAAGAAAAAAAGCAAGGAGCAAAAAGACAACAGAAAAGAUAUAACAAAGGACUGAGUGCAACAGAAACAUAGGAGAACAAAUAGUUUCUGAACAGGAUACAACCAAAUGACAAAAUUCUGAGAGAAAAAAAAAAUGCCUAUCAAAGUAUAACUUGAAAGACAACAAAGAAAAGAUUCCAAGUCCUAUAAAAGUUUGAGAAUGAAAUAAAAUGAAGAAAAGCAGAGAGGCCAAUUUCUCACAAAUAGUGAAAACCUGAUGUGAAACUCUACUACAAGAGGUUGCACUCCAUCAUGAUUCACAAUGAAAGUUUGGAGUCAGGCUGCCAGAAUUAAAUCCUGCCGCCAGCACCUCCAGCUGUGUCACUUUGAAAGCAUUACAUGACCUGUCUGUGCCUCGGUCUCGUCUGUAAGAUUUUAAUAAUGCCUAAUUAUUAAAUUAACAAUUUAAUAGUUAUUAAUAAUUGUUAGUAGUAUCAGAGGAGUGUUGAAAGGGUAAAGUCUUAAGCACAGUGCCUGGCACAUAGCAAGUGCUUACUAAACGUUAGCCACGCGGCCACUGUAUGUGAGCUCCUACAAGCCCAACAUGGUCUUGGGACAGGCCAACAGGUUGAGUGCCUGGAAGAAACCCCUCUUGGGGAAUCAUAAGCAGAGACCCCAGAACAGCAGAGACCUGGUUUCUGCAUGGGAGGUCAGGAAAGCGGCACCACCAACAGAUGCGGGUCCUUAGCAGAAAGAUGAGCAGGUGAGGAGAGGAAAAGCCUCCCAGGAGUCGAGAGUCUGGAUAGUGGAAUGCCAGAAAUGAAGCUCUGGAAAAACAUUCUACUUAAAAUAUAAUUGUAAGAACUCCUCUUUGUAGGGCUCUCGGAGAAACCCUCUGAAAUCUCCAAGGAGUUGGAGAACCGGACCCUGGGUUUGCAAUCAAGAGCUCUGUGUUCUGGCUUCUGCUGAUGCUAGUAGGCUCUGGGUCCUUUCAGGGUCUCAAUUUCCUUGUCUGAAAAAGUGGGCAUAAUGGUAUCUACCUCAAAUGAUUGAAGUGAAGAUUAAAUGAGGAAUGUCUGUAAAACACCUGGAACAUAGGGGGUACUGAAUAAAUGAUAACUUUCCUUACACUCUCACUCACUGUUACAAAACAACAAUGCGUAGAACAGGGUGUCCCUGGAGUCAGAAGAAUAAAGUAAGUGCAUGCUGCCCAGUGUUAAGCAUAUUGAGACACCCAAUACCAAUCUGGUGAAUUGAAUAGUUUCGCAAAACUAAGGAAAAUUAACAGUCUCCACAAAAAAGUGUUUAUCCAAGUGUUAAAGUACUUAAUUGUUCUCAAAAAACCAAAUUGUCCCCAUUCUGAACAUUUUUUGAACUUUCUCAAUUGCAGUUAGUCUUCUGGGACAUUGAAGAAGGCCUAGAACUCAAUCGAGGAACA